rnacentral:sRNA from 1 species
GGCGGCGUGCUGCUGAGCCCCUUUCUGAUCUAUGCCCUGCUGGCGCUGCUGCUGACCGGCGUGCUGCGCCUCGGGCUGGCCCGGUUCGGCGCGUCACGCUGGAUCUGGCACGAAGCGCUGUUCGACUGUGCCCUG